rnacentral:rRNA from 1 species
UCCUACGGGGGGCAGCAGUGAGGAAUAUUGGUCAGUGGGCGGAAGCCUGAACCAGCCAAGUCGCGUGAGGGAAUAAGGCCCUACGGGUCGUAAACCUCUUUUGCCGGGGAGCAAGGGCCGGGACGAGUCCCGGUCCGGAGAGUACCCGGAGAAAAAGCAUCGGCUAACUCCGUGCCAGCAGCCGCGGUAAUACGGAGGAUGCGAGCGUUAUCCGGAUUUAUUGGGUUUAAAGGGUGCGUAGGCGGGCUUUUAAGUCAGCGGUAAAAAUUCGGGGCUCAACCCCGUCCGGUCGGUGAAACUGGGGG